AUUUCUUACCAAAAAACACAGAUCUACUAGAAAUUAAUUUAUUUUAGGAUUUAACGGUAAAUAAAUUAUUUCUACUUUGGGAUUUCGUGACAGUACAAGAAAGGGGACCUUUUAUCCCAUUUUUUUAGUUAACAAAAAUAAAAAAUGGGAUAAAAGAUAUAUUAAAACUUUUUAUCCCACUUUUAGAUUUGGCGCUUCAAAUAUACAGCAAAUAUUUUUUUAGACAAGAGCUCUUUUUGGUAGAAAGUUAAAAAAAAAAUAUUAAAAGAAAAAAAAUAAUUUCAAGAUUCAAUUUUUAUGAGUUUGCCAAACAGGGAUUAAAUUUUUUAGGGAAACCUUUUUAUCCCGGUUUUAACUAAAUAACCGGGAUAAAAAGUCAUCCCUAAAAUCCCAAACGUCAAACCUCGACAUAUCAUGGUCGACAAUCCCAAAGUCCCAACCCAGAAACCCUCUCGCCCAAACCCUCACGCAAACCCUCUCGUCCAAAUCCUCGCCCAAACCCAGAAAUUAACCCUCGCCCAAACUGACAUUGGCGGUGCCGUAGAAGAUAACGCCAGCAAAGUCCCGUUUGGUCUUUAUCCCCAGUUGGACACCAUCCAAUUAUUUUACUGGGAACAUACCAGCCACAUACACGAAUUUAACAAAUCUUUGCUGGCUUGAAGUUUCUGAGAAUGAGUUAUCAGGUCUGUUGCCUAACGUAAAGAACUGGUCAAAGAUUGAAUCUAUAUGAUGAGAGAAAGGUGAAGUUUCUGAAAAGCUUUCCAAGAGCUAAGACAAGCAAGCAUUGGAUGUUGAUUAUAGCAAUGACAUCGGGAAGAGUUGUAUUCUUAAACCUGCUUAAAUCUAAAAUCCCGUCAGUCAUUGCUGAGAUGAUAAAGAUUGCAUAUGCAAAUAUUAGUUAAAAUGAUAUUGUAUUUAGCAAAAAUGGACCGGAGAUAUGGACCUUUGCUUGUCCAAAGAAACCAUACAAUUACGAAUGUGGUUACUAUGUACUAACUAACAUUCGUGAUAUGCUUCAACAUUAAAAUCCUAUUACAGCCAUAAAAGCAAAAUUUGGCGGCCUAUCCCCAUAUUCUGAGGACGAUCAUCUCUUACCGCUUCGACAACAGUGGUUAAGUCAAUUGCUUCCCUUGAUAUAUAAAAAUUAACUAGUAGUCUUUUAUUGUAUUUUUUUAGACAAUGUGUAGUAUUUUAGAGAUUUAUGCAUAAUAUGUAAAGUGUUAUUUAAAAUUGAACUUACAAAUUAUUAUUGUUGUUAUUAAAAAUGAUAUUAAUCAUUCAUUUUUAAUUAA